rnacentral:lncRNA from 1 species
UGUCGCGAUUUUUUUUUUUUCGGAAACUAAACACGGCCUUAUAUGUUCAGAGAAAUAGCUGACUUACUAACGUGAACAUUACAAUUAUAUGAGCUAGUUGAUUUUAAUUGUGUAUGAUAGUGGAUUGCCUGGGUGGAUAGCUUGCAUAUUAAGAGAAAUAGGUAAUAGAGCGUGAUAAUGGAUUCCCUAGUUGAAUAACUUAUAUAUUAAGAGAAAUAGAUAGUGGAGUUUUGCUUUAUAAGAGUAUAAGAUAAAUCUCAGGGCAAAUAUUUGAAUCUCAAAUUAUUUUUGACUUAUUUAAUAUAUAGUUUUCGAAAUUUGAUGUUUCCAUCCAUACUCAGACUUUAAUGGUGACUUUAUUCUUACUUUUUAUAAUUUUGCCCUCGUACUGUUUGAAAUGGUUUAACUGUUUAUCCGUAUUUUGUAACACCGUUGAGCCUGGGUGGAUUAAAUAGAAAAAAGAAAAAAUACCCACAAUAAAUGGCAACAAUAUUGUCAGCAAAAAAUUUCCUCUCGUUGCAUUCUCUCUCACCUUUCGUUGGACCGCAGUAUACCCUUAUCGCAC